UACGGAGGGUGCAAGCGUUAUCCGGAUUCACUGGGUUUAAAGGGUGCGUAGGCGGGCAAGUAAGUCCGUGGUGAAAUCUCUGAGCUUAACUCAGAAACUGCCGUGGAUACUAUUUGUCUUGAAUGUUGUGGAGGUAAGCGGAAUAUGUCAUGUAGCGGUGAAAUGCUUAGAUAUGGCAUAGAACACCAAUUGCGAAGGCAGCUUACUACACAAAUAUUGACGCUGAGGCACGAAAGCGUGGGGAUCAAACAGG
rnacentral:rRNA from 1 species